rnacentral:rRNA from 1 species
UACGUAGGGUGCUAGCGUUGUCCGGAUUUAUUGGGCGUAAAGGGCUCGUAGGCGGCUUGUCGCGUCGGGAGUGAAAGCCCGCUGCUUAACGGCGGGUUGGCUUCCGGUACGGGCUGGCUGGAGUGCGGCAGGGGAGACUGGAAUUCCUGGUGUAGCGGUGGAAUGCGCAGAUAUCAGGAGGAACACCGGUGGCGAAGGCGGGUCUCUGGGCCGUUACUGACGCUGAGGAGCGAAAGCGUGGGGGAGCGAACAGG